UGGGGAAUAUUGGGCAAUGGAGGGAACUCUGACCCAGCGACGCCGCGUGCGGGAUGAAGGCCUUCGGGUUGUAAACCGCUUUCAGCAGGGAAGAAGCGAAAGUGACGGUACCUGCAGAAGAAGCACCGGCUAACUAUGUGCCAGCAGCCGCGGUAAUACAGAGGGUGCAAGCGUUAAUCGGAAUUACUGGGCGUAAAGGGCGCGUAGGUUGUUAUACAAGUCAGAUGUGAAAGCCCUGGGCUUAACCUGGGAAUGGCAUUUGAAACUGUAAGACUAGAGUGAAGUAGAGGGUAGCGGAAUUUCCGGUGUAGCGGUGAAAUGCGUAGAUAUCGGAAGGAACACCAGUGGCGAAGGCGGCUACCUGGACUUCAACUGACACUGAGGCGCGAAAGCGUGGGUAGCGAACAGGAUUAGAUACCCGAGUAGUCCCUGAGCGGGCUGGCAAGGCGCAU
rnacentral:rRNA from 1 species